CUAAAAUUAACUGAUUUCACGAAUAGGUAUAUGUUAUGAUUCUAAAUAAUUUGAUUCGUUCACGUUUACCGCCCACCAGAUUUCACUGUCUCCAGCGACAUUGCACUUGGUACAGAACAUUCCUGGACCUUGUAAGAUCACUGCACUCAGUGCAAAUCAUGUAGAGUGGCUGGAACAUCGAGUUCAGGCCAGUGCAGAUACUGGAGUUCGCUGUAGGGUUGGUGCACUUCAAAUAUUGAAUUUAUCUAGUAUUGAAAAUGUUUAUUGGAAAGCAUUUCACACAUGUCCAUUAACUACAUUGUUUGUUAAUUGCUGUAAUAAAUAACCAUUAAUUUUAUUUUAUAUGUUGGUUUCGUUUUGUUUAUUUUACGAAAAGUAAACUGUUUAAAAUUUAUUUGUGAUCAUUGAAGUUUUAUUAGUAAUGUUUGUGUUGGCUUAUGUUUAGAAUUAUGUUUCCUUUAGUUUCACCAAAUGUUGCUUAAUGCAUUUCAAAAAACUAAUGUCAUAGUUUUCAGUACACACUAGACCCAGAGAUAAGUAAAUGGACCAGAUGGAACAUAACCGAUACUUCUUGAAGCUGGCAUUCACUAAGCAAUAUGGCGCCUAUGUAGCUGAGAAAUUGUUUACAUGAACAGCUGUUUUAAACAACAAACACACGUUUGUUGUUAUACUUCUAAAACCAUUAAAAUCAUUAAAAUAAUGAUUUUGAACGGUUAAUUAGGUUAGUAUAGCUACAUUAAAAAAAUUGGGAGAUUGUGUGAAUAGUUUGUUAGGUCAGGAUAGCUACAUAUUAAAUUAGAAAUUCCUAAGGAACCAUAAAAUUAUUUGACAGUAUUUUUAAUGUAGCUAUACUAACCUUUAUGUAACCAACCAUCCACAAUUUUGUAAAGUAGGUAUUUAUAAUGUAGCUAACCUAAUCUAAUCGACCAUUAGUUAUCAUGAGUUUGUUCUAAACAAACAUACACGGUUACAUGGCAAAAAUAAAUGGCUCCGUCCGCACCAAUGCACAGCACGACUUGGGCUCUGCUGGAUACUUAGAAACUUGAGUCGUGUCGAAGGUUGACUUCGCUCCUGCAGCUCCUUCCACGAACACAUCAGUGAGUGGGCUCUUCCACGCAGGGCCCGAUCAAACCACAUUCAAUACUUCUUCCUUGCAUACUGCAGCUCUGUGCUCGAAACUGCUAAUUUACUAAAUGCUGUAAAACCUUGAAGUUUAAUUUUUCUGGAGGUUUUUCUAUUAAAUUUUGACUUUUUACACCAGAAUUCUGAAACUGAUGUCACUCAUGACUUUUCAUUUACUUUUGAAGCUCAGGAAAGAAUUGUAUGUCAGACUCACAAUCCCUGUGCCUACUCAUGUAUUAUUUGUUACCCCGAAGAGUUGCAGCACAGGGAUUUUUUUUAAUGAUUCCUAUUGUUAUGUGAUGAUGUACGGCAAUGUGUGAUUGACAUGUGUACCAAAAACCACGACAUACACAAAGAAGCUUAGUGAGGUGGAGCAUGUAAGAUAUCACUGUUGUUGUUGUACAAUUAUACUUGUGUUUAUAUAUGUGAGUGUGUUUGUAAAAUAAAGACACAUUAAAAAUGCUGACAAAGAACUAUCUCAUUUUCAUUGUGGGGACUGCUUGUUUUGUCAUCAAAUUGGUAAAACAUAUAAGAUAGCUUAUGUCAUUUGUUGCGUAUUUGGUGUCUGCUUGAGAUAUAAAAACUAAAAUAAACUUUGUUUAUAUCAGUUUUAUCACUACAGCUAAGCAUAUGAUAUUAAUCGUAAAGACAAUUUGAUGAGAAUGACUGCAAGUGUUGCACGUCCUUCGCUUUAACAUUACAAGUGUCAACAUCGGUUCAAAUAAAGUUAUACGUGUUUUGAAGAAACCACCUCAAUGCUUUCCUUAGAUCUUUUGCUAAUCUAAACAUAAUGUCAUAUUAUUCAAUUAUUCAAUUACCUAGGUAUCUGCACACAACAGGUUAAGUUAUACUUUUCCUUUAUUCAAAACAAAAGAUCACACAAAGAGGCCUCAUAUGCUUUCAACUUUUCUAUUGUAAUGCAAUGUCAUUAGGUAUAACUGGUAUUGCUGAUUAAAUUCUCACAUUAUUUAUUCAUAAUGCUUAAGAAUACAAUAUGUAAGGUCACAAUGCUCACCAUCUGAUACAUAUUGUCGUAUUGAUUAUAAUUCUGCUGUGACAGAUUUGCCUAAUACUUUGACCUAAGUAUACACCUACAUAAUCUAGACACCAUUUCUCAUAUAUUUGGUGCAGGAAAUAUAAAUUCAUACACAUAAUUGCAUAAUAUAAUAUACAACACCACAAAUUAAAAAAAAAAAACAGUCUAAAAUCUUUGGUUCAGUAGGACCUUAGUCAUUCAUGUACAAAUAUCUGCUAACAAAUGAGUUUAACAUGAUAAAGUUUAUAACAAUAAUUCAUCAAAUAUUAAUUGUGUAAGAACUAUGCAUAAGCAUAGGUACAUACAAUGUUCCUUAGUUGUACUGCUGUAGAAGUUCCAGGUAUUUAAGAAAAUAAAAUAUGACUAGAAGCGUGACUUUGUAUUAGUUUAUAAUCUAAACAAUUUCGUGGAUUUUAAUCUGUCUCUGAAAUCUCUGGAAAUUAUUCACAAUAUACAAAAUAUCAUGCACUCAAAAACCAAAAUUGAAGCUAUUUUGUAUUACAAGUUUCCCAUUGCUUGUGAAAUUUACUUGUACCUGUACUUUGGAAAAAUAAUAAAUGGUAUGUUUUUGAAAAAAAAAAAA